CCCGGGCCUUGUACACACCGCCCGUCACACCACGGGAGUUGGUUCUACCCGAAGGUAGUGCGCUAACCGCAAGGAGGCAGCUAACCACGGUAGGGUCAGCGACUGGGUG
rnacentral:rRNA from 1 species